rnacentral:lncRNA from 1 species
UACAUUGUGUUGUAUUGUUAUGAAAUCCUUUCCUUUCUCUUAGCUAAGGAAUUAUGAAUUUUUGAAAACUCUAAACUGUGAAGAAGAAGAAGAAGAAAGUAAUCAAAGAAGAGAAAAAAGAGUUUUUUUUUUUAAAUUUUGUUUGUUAAUUUUUUCUUUUUUCUUUUUUCUUAAUUUAAUUUUCUUUUCUUCAUUUUUUGUUCCCAGA